CGGGGCGUGGCGCAGCUUGGUAGCGCACCUGCUUUGGGAGCAGGGGGUCGCUGGUUCGAAUCCAGUCGCCCCGACCA
rnacentral:tRNA from 1 species